rnacentral:rRNA from 1 species
UCUGGUUGAUCCUGCCAGAGGUCACCGCUAUUGGAAUUCGACUAAGCCAUGCGAGUUGAGAGUCUUAGGGACUCGGCAGACGGCUCAGUAACACGUAGAUAAUCUGCCCUUGGGUGGGGGAUAACCUCGGGAAACUGAGAAUAAUACCCCAUAGGUCUAGAAUGCUGGAAUGCUUUUAGGCUUAAAACUCCGGUGCCCAAGGAUGAGUCUGCGACCUAUCAGGUAGUAGUGAGUGUAACGUACUCACUAGCCGACAACGGGUACGGGCCUUGAGAGAGGUUGCCCGGAGAUGGAUUCUGAGACACGAAUCCAGGCCCUACGGGGCGCAGCAGGCGCGAAACCUUCGCAAUGCGGGAAACCGCGACGAGGGGAUUCCAAGUGCUAAUACAUUGUAUUAGCUGUUUUUUAGCCUAAAAAGCUAGAAGAGUAAGGGCUGGGUAAGUCUGGUCCCAGCCGCCGCGGUAAUACCAGCAGCCCAAGUGGUGAUCGUUAUUAUUGGGCCUACAACGUCCGUAGCCGGUCUAGUAAAUCCUUUGAUAAAUCGUACAGCUUAACUGUACGCCUCCUGAGGAGACUGCUAGACUUGGGACUGGGAGAGGUCGGAGGUACUCCAGGGGUAGGGGUGAAAUCCUGUAAUCCUUGGGGGUCCACCGGUGGCGAAGGCGUCCGACUUGAACGGGUCCGACGGUAAGGGACGAAGCCCUGGGGCGCAAACCGGAUUAGAUACCCGGGUAGUCCAGGGUGUAAACGCUGUGGACUUGGUGUUGGGGGUCCUACGAGGGCGCCCAGUGCCGGAGAGAAGUUGUUAAGUCCACUGCCUGGGGAGUACGGUCGCAAGACUGAAACUUAAAGGAAUUGGCGGGGGAGCACCGCAACGGGAGGAGCGUGCGGUUCAAUUGGAUUCAACGCCGGAAAACUCACCGGGGGCGACUGUUAUAUGAAGGCCAAGCUGAUGACUUUGCCAGAUUUUCAGAGAGGUGGUGCAUGGCCGCCGUCAGUUCGUACCGCAAGGCGUUCUGUUAAGUCAGAUAACGAACGAGACCCCCACCCUUAAUUGCCAGCUUUCUCUCCGGAGGAAGGGAACAUUAGGGGGACCGCUGGCGCUAAGUCAGAGGAAGGAGGGGGCAACGGUAGGUCAGUAUGCCCCGAAUCUCCCGGGCAACACGCGCGCUACAAAGGCUGGGACAAUGAGUUCCGACCCCGAAAGGGGUAGGUAAUCUUCAAACCUAGUUAUAGUUCGGAUUGAGGGCUGUAACCCGCCCUCAUGAAGGUGGAUUCCCUAGUAAUCGCGGGUCAACAUCCCGCGGUGAAUAUGCCCCUGCUCCUUGCACACACCGCCCGUCAAACCAUCUCAGUUGGGCUAAGAUGAGGGUAUCUUUUUUGGGGUGCUCAAAUCUUUGUUCAGCAAGGAGGGUUAAGUCGUAACAAGGUA